rnacentral:rRNA from 1 species
UACGAAGGGGGCUAGCGUUGUUCGAAAUUACUGGGCGUAAAGCGCACGUAGGCGGAUCCUUAAGUCAGGGGUGAAAUCCCGAGGCUCAACCUCGGAACUGCCUUUGAUACUGGGGAUAUCGAGUCCGGGAGAGGUGAGUGGAACUGCGAGUGUAGAGGUGAAAUUCGUAGAUAUUCGGAGGAACACCAGUGGCGAAGGCGGCUCACUGGUCCGGUACUGACGCUGAGGUGCGAAAGCGUGGGGAGCAAACAGG